CUCCUACGGGGCGCCGCAGUGGGGGAUAUUGCACAAUGGGGGAAACCCUGAUGCAGCGACGCCGCGUGGGUGAAGAAGCGCCUCGGCGCGUAAAGCCCUGUCCGCCGGGAAGAACAUGACGGUACCUGAAGAAGACGCCCCGGCUAACUACGUGCCAGCAGGCGCGGUCCUACGUAGGGGGCAAGCGUUAUCCGGAUUUACUGGGUGUAAGGGGGGCGCAGACGGCGAUGCAAGCC
rnacentral:rRNA from 1 species